rnacentral:rRNA from 1 species
UACUAGAGUCUUGUAGAGGGGGGUAGAAUUUCAGGUGUAGCGGUGAAAUGCGUAGAGAUCUGAAGGAAUACCGGUGGCGAAGGCGGCCCCCUGGACAAAGACUGACGCUCAGGUACGAAAGCGUGGGGAGCAAACAGGAUUAGAUACCCUGGUAGUCCACGCCGUAAACGAUGUCUACUCGGAAUUUGGUACCUU